AGGGGGGGACGACGUCAAGUCAUCAUGGCCCUUACGCCCGGGGCUACACACGUGCUACAAUGGCGCGCACAGAGCGUAGCAAGCCUGCGAAGGCAAGCCAACCGCAAAAAGCGCGCCUCAGUUCGGAUCGGAGGCUGCAACUCGCCUCCGUGAAGCUGGAAUCGCUAGUAAUCGCGCAUCAGCAACGGCGCGGUGAAUACGUUCCCGGACCUUGUACACACCGCCCGUCAAGCCAUGGGAGCUUGGGGGACCUGAAGCCGGUGACCGCGAGGGGCCGGUUAGGGUAAGACAGGUGACUGGGGCUAAGUCGUAACAAGGUAGCCGUACCGGAAGGUGCGGCUGGAACACCUCCUUUCUG
rnacentral:rRNA from 1 species